GUCCCUAUUGGGCCAACCCACAAAUCUUUAGCAUAUAACCUUGGGCACUAAUCAUCAGUGUGAUGGGACAAAAUUCACACUGAUCUUUUGAUUGGUUGCUCCCAAAAUCACAAGACAAUGGCUAUGUUGGGGUGGGGGGGGGGGGGGGGGGGCUUUUUAGCUCCCCUGCUUAUAAGCAGAAGACCUAUAAGUGUUUGGUAAGCCAACUUCUCAUCAGCUUUCUCCAGAAGCUGCUGUGGCUUCUGCCCAAAAGCAGAAGCAGCCGGACCCUUGCUUUUAAAAGCCAGAAGCGAGGAAAUCACUGUGGCGGGUGUUACUGUAGAUUAAUGAAAUUUUGAUAAUACCGGUCUCUAUCCUCCAUUGGUUGAGGCAAUUACUUGAUUGCCAUGAAACCCGUCUUGAUAGAUGAUGCCGCAGCAAUCUCUCUCCCUCUGAUCACAGACGCCCGGCCCCAUCAAUCUCUCUCCCUCUGACGCCGCCUCAUCUAGCCUUUCAUCACGAUUUUGGGUUGGAAAUCGAAGCCUCACUCAAGCAAGGCUGCUUGGCGAUUUGAUUCAGGUUAGUUUUUUAUCUAUUUCAGUUUCAAAUUUCUAUGAUUUUGAUGAAGGCCUAUGAUUUGAGUACUGCCAUCAUUUGAUAUCAGUGGGUUGAGUUCGAUUUUGUUUAAUUUGGUGAAUUUUCUGGACCCUUUUCACUUGUGUUGAUUGGUGUUGAUCCCCAUUUGUUUCUACUUCUAGCACAGACACAAAAGACUGUUGUGAUGCUUUUAAAUGUUUGAGAUGUUGAUAUUCUGCAAUUGGUAUAGACCCAUGUAAGUAGAUAUUUAAGUUGGAACUGUGAUUUUGGAACAGAGGAGUGUUAAUUUUGGGAACUGUUGCCUUCUGGUUUUGGAUACUGAUCUCAACAUCAUGGUUAUGCAACAAUUAUAGAUUGGGAUUAUACACUCUGUGAUGCAAGAUUAGAUGAAAAUUGGAAUUUACUCUCUGUUCUCACUCUCUGUACUGGUUGCUUCUUGUUUUUAUUUCACUUGAUUAGAUAGAGUUAUAGAUUGAUGAUAAUUUACACUCUUGUGUGCUGCAAGAUUAGGAUUUGCUCCUGCUAGUUACUUUGUUUGUUACUGGUCUUGAUGAUAAUUUACACACUGCUGCAAGAUUAGGAUUUGCUCCUGCCAGUUGCUUAGUUUGUUAUUGGUCAUGAUUUGCUCAAACCUUAGUUUCUCUGCUACCUUUGCUCCAUUUGCAGAACCUGAUAGAUCAGAUGCUCCUAACUGCUUUCUUACGAGAUCAUGAAACCCAUUCUGGUCCCAUAUCUUUUUUUUUUUUUUUUUUUUUGGAUAGAGUUCUGGUCCCAUAUCUUUUCAUGAGCUAGAAGCAUAUCUUUCCAUUCUUUAUCCAAUUUUUUAGCAUGGUCUGUUGGCAGCCAGUGGAAUUUUACCUUUUAAUAUACUAGUCUAACAUGUAUGUAUAUGAUAAUAUGAAGAAGCACCCAGAGUAUUUUAAUAACAAUAGUACCCGUAAGGGGUAGACUCCAUUUAAUACUAAUAGUUUUUGUAAUAUUUGAUUCUACAAAAAAAUGAAUUUUAUACUACAUAUAUAAAUUCCAGAAUGUAAAUAGCUAUGUAACAUGUAUGGUUAUGCUUGUUCCUUCAUUCUGCAGUUCCGUUUUUGCUUGUUCCUUCAUUCUGCAUUCUUCAUUCUCUUCUGUCUAUUCCCCCUGUCCACCAUCACAGAUUCACAGGUCAGGAUGUCGUCCAUUUUGCUAAAAAUAUCUGGGACAAUAUGUUUAAAAUACCAUUGGGUACCCUUUCCUCAACUCUCUCAAGGAGAAAUUUGUUUAAAAUGCAUUUAAUAUUUAUCUGCUGGCGCUUAUUAAUAUCAGUAUGGAAGUUCUGGCAAGUAUAUGUUAGGAAAGCCUGGUUAAAUGAAUGACACAGGUUUCAAGCAGGUUGUGUGGAAGUUGAAUCCGUUUCUGUAUAUGUUGCUGUCACUGCACUACUAUUUAUUGCUCGUUUCUGGUGUUAAAAAGGUUUUCUGGAUGUCAUCAUUCAAGGCAGUGAUUAAACUUAGAAAUUGAUAAAAUUAUUUUAUAGGGAAAGUGAUAUUCAGAAUCUCAUCAUAUAUUCAUAUCUCACUGUUCUGUGGGAACAUGUCCAUGUGUUUUUCAACUUUUUGGUUACAUACUUUGUAUAGAUAGAGCAUCUCUAUAUGCUUGUAUUCCUUUCAAAUAUGCUUCCUGGUUUGAAGAAUGUGGAUACGGCAUCCUUUCACAUGUUACAGUUUUUACUCUGUCUGCACUUUGGAGAUGACAAAUGGAUAAUAUCAAUGGAGCUCCAUCGCAUAAUUUUGUAACAUAUUUUGUCUGGAUAAGUGGUUUAAAGAGAUACAUGGCUGGUAUUAAUUCAGAGUCAUUGGGAGAUCAAGCGGAAUACCAAGCAACGCAGCAAGUUAUAUUAUCAUUCAUCAUGCAAAACUUAGCUAGGAAAUUUGAAAAUUGAAAUGUAUAAAUGCAAUAAUUAUGUUCCUUAAAUUCAGUAUUUGAUAAAUUGAUGUAUCACACAAGGCUUUUUGGUACAAAUAUUGAUCAUGGUUUGCAUUCAA